AAAACAAUACUCAAAGUUUUCCUAAUGGUUGUGCUCCUGCCUGGAUGUGACAGACAGAGCUCACGUGAACCAUGUAAUUUAUAUGAGUGGUUCUGGCUUUUGUGUGCUCCUGAGCAUGACACUGACAGGCAAAGGAGCUCAGACUGCAGGCUGGCUGUUUAUGGCACUGAAGACAAAGAAAGCUCCGAAAAAAGGCUCCAGAUUUUCUUCCUAAUUAGUGUCCUCUAGACCCUUGUAAUCACAUGCCACGCAAAUGAACUGCCUGUUAUUCAGCCAAACAGAUGACAGUGGACUGGGUGACUUCCUCUGUCGCCAGCAGGCUGGAAGAAAAGAAGCGGGGAGACACUACACGCUGUAAAUGCUUCUUUUCCGCGUCGGGAAAAGGGAACGGCGGCCGCGGGCACAGGGCGGGGGUGCAGCGCCCUCUGCAGGCUGCGCCGCCACCGCCACGCACCCGGGCACCGCAUCCACCGCGCCCAACGGCGGGGCUCAGGAAUUCCGGGGAUAAAUCGCUUCCUUCUGUGUUGCUAGCAUUCUAUAUUAAUCGGAAAGAACCCCAACAAACAACUAACAAAACAAACCACACCGAAACAGAAUAUGGAAGAUGUGGCAUCACCACUGUCCGGCAGGAAUCCCUCGGAAGUGGCCUCAAGUUGAGCCAGGGGAAGUUCAGGCCACUGCUGGGCAGAGAAGACAGAGGCAAGCCCCCUCCUGGAAGGGAUUGUUGCAUGGGCUGGCUCAUUGGAAGCCAGGGGCAGCUGAGUGUGUCCCAGCAUUUUCCCUGCCCUCCAGUGUGCACUCCUCAUGACAGCAAGGGCUCAGUGUCCUUCUUCA